rnacentral:tRNA from 1 species
GAGGGUAUAGCUCAGUGGUUGAGCGCAUGUACAAAGUCCUGGGUUCAAUCCCCAGUACCUCCA